rnacentral:other from 1 species
UAACCUCUGCUAUACGCGUGAGCCGGCGCUAGUCUUUAAGAAUCGAUGCAUAUCCGCAGGGAACCUGCGCUGUUGAUGGAGCACAAACCAUCGCUGGGAGUGUGAAGUCAUUAUUCGGGUGCCCACCUUAGGACAAGGGUUCGGAAGGCACGUCACCACGGUACCUGCGGAGGUUUU